ACCAAUCUAACAUCUCUCUCUCUCUCUCUCUCUCUCUCUCUCUCUCUCUCUCACACACACACACACACACGGGGGGGGGGGGAGAGAGAGAGAGAGAGAGAGAGAGAGAGCGCCUAGGUAG